AUCCCACUCGUUCUCUCUCUUCAAGCUACAUCAAACCAUGUCUUUUCUCUCUCGACGGUUUCUUCACUUAUUAUAUGUAAGAGCCAAUUUUAAUUUUCUUCUCCCUAAACCCUAAACCAAUUAGGAAAAACUACCACGAAAUCCAACCCCACCAUUUUGCCGAGACCUCAACCCCAAAUUUGAAUAGGAAAGCAACCAGUAGUUUUAUUCACCACUAAUUGAAGCAAGAUCUGAAAAUUUGGUUGAUAAUUUCACUCUUGUUACAAACGGAAAUAGUAAAUGUGAUUUGAUUUUAUUAUUGAUUGGUCAUUUGAUUUACUCACCUAUUUAAUGCAUCCAUGAUUUUGACCUUUCUCUACAAGUGCAAAGAAACUGGGGACUAAGGAUGCUGAGUUUAAUGGGGAUUUCAACGUCGGGUCCAUGGGGAUUGGGUUCGACAUGGU
rnacentral:lncRNA from 1 species